UCAUUUCUUCAAUAAUCUGUGCAACAAAUAACUACUUUUAAUUAACAAGGUUAAAAAAGGAAAGAAAAAGAUGAGAAAUGACAGGUGGCAUACCUCCCAUAACCAUGAUAUUUGAGGAUCAGUUUCCUUAUACCCAUAAUACUCGGUAUGCUUCUUCCAAUCUUCCACUGAAAUAAUACUUUCACUUCCAUACAACAUUCCAUCAAGAUCCUCACAUUCUAAGCUUUUAAAAAACAAUUUCCUUAUUUUUUCUUCUCCAGCAAUAUCUGUAAACCCUUUAGCAAAAUAUGACACCUGUUCUGAAACAGAUGUCACAAACCUAUGCUCGAUAAGAAGAUCAACAUACUCCUUCCUGUUUCUACUAUUCACAACAAUGUUUUUUCCAUCUGCAAAAAGCUCCACAACUUUUCUUGAUCCUAGUUCUUCAAUUUCUCUAACGAAUGUUAACCCAAGGGCAUCUUCGUCAACUGUAGUGGGGUCCAUGUCUAAUAUCUGUUUGCAGCUGCUGUAUAAGUAUGGAUCUGCAUCUUUUAUGUCUUCUAAAGAGAUUGUGUUUCCUGAUAAUUGUGAGAAAAAUGAUCGAUCAAAUGCAAUUCCAACUUGGAUUUUGUGCAUUAAAGCUAGUGCGAUUAUUCUUCCUGCAAAGUUGAAGUAUUCAAGGUGCAAUGGGUCCACUUUAGAUGCUGCAAACUCAACAGAAUUCAAGAAGUCAGGAAGUCAAGAAGUAAUUCCAUGUCGUAAAGAAUGGUUUUUUUUAUUGGAAGUUUGAUAAAGAUUACCUGGAUUGGGGAAGAAUCUUCGCCGGUCAUUAGGGCAAGCAACAAAAAGGGCAUUUUGGGGAUUAAAGAUUUCUUGACAAACUAAGAAGAACCAUUCACGUAAGACACCAGGACCUGUAGCUUCUUCAUUUUUGAACUCCAUGAAUAAUCCACCACGAAGAGUAUCAGGAUCUACACGUGCAAUGUACUCAAAAGAUUCAGCUAACAACUGAGAUCUGUCAAUAAGCAUCUCAUGAAGCUCAUCAUAUUCAUCUUUCAUUUCUGGAAGCAACAUCAAUACCAAAUGCCUCCUGGAUUCGAAGUCGAUAACAUCUUUAUGUCCAAGAAUCCAUUUGUAAUCCUCGCCUCUUUUAGCAUAUUUAACAAUCAGAUAGCAUAAUGAGACCUUGUUCCUUUUCAAAUUUUCCCAAAAGAAAUCUUCUGCACCUUGGUAUAGUUUGGAAAUGCUUCGCAGUUCCUUCAAGAUUGAAAGAUAAGAAUCCCAUCCGAAGUAUCCUUUCUUUUCUGUAGCUAAGUAACUCUCUAUUUUAUCAAGACACAUUUGAACUUUCUCAAAAAGCUCAAUGAAGAUCAUGUAUAGAAGUUUGAUUUCAUCACUGCCACAAGGGAGGGUGGAGGUGGACUUACUUGGUAUUGGUAUGAUUCCCUCAAACUCUGUCUGAUCUUUGAUUGCAGCCUUGAGAGGACGCAAGAAUGAAGCGAACUCAAGGACAUCACUUGGUGAAGGACAGACAUCAUCUAUGGCUUCCACACUGGAAAUCAAACCCUCUGUUAGGUUGUUUGCAAGCUCAGCCACAUAUGGAAGAAUGUCCUGAACUGUAAUGAUUACAGGUUUAUUACUGCUGUUAUCAUAAUUCCGAGAGCUUCUUCCAAUUCUAAGAUACUCCACCAUUGAUCCUAGACUACUCCGGCAAUCUUCAUACAAAGGAUCUGAUCUUCCUGAAACUCUACAGAGCAAUUUACAGAACUCUAAUGCUAUAGGCGCACACUGUGAAUAUAUAGGUCUUGACAGUGUAUGUUUACUAGAAUUAAGGAGAUGUCGAAUUGAUUCUUGAGCACACUCUUUGUUACCUGCAUGAGGCGACAUGUAGAGCAUCAUCAGGGCUGCUGGAGCACAUAACGAUUGAAAUAUAUUCAGAUGAGGCGCCGGUUGAUCAUCCCCGAUAUCAUACUUGGCAGUCAUGUUCAAGAACUCUGUUAACCGCGAUUUCACAGACUUCAGACAAAGGCCCUUUUCUCCUUUGCACAACCUGUAAAUCGUCGAAACCAAAUCAUCAAUCAACUGCCACGCUUGCGGAUGCUCCGUACUCCGCAUUCGACCAACCAAAUGCAAGCCUGCGUCGUUAUUUAUCUUACACUCAGCCAAACUAUAAUCCCACUGAAGCUGCCGUCCUCGAUAAAUCAACCGCUGCUCGACCAUCGGAAUUCCGGUGGCGGCCUGGAUUUUCUCGUGGAUUAAUUUGACUUUGUCGUCUGGUUUUCCAUGGAGAACUAAGGUUUUGGCUUCGGAGAUCAUACGAACGAAGAAUUGGAUACGAUCAGGAUACCAUACGAAGGCGGAGUGUUGGGUGGAACUGGAACUGGAAGUAGAAGCCCUAGUUUGGAAGUGAGGGUGUUGACGAGUGAUUUGAUCAAGGAAAGGAUUACUGGAAGCGGUGGCGGGAGGAGAAUUAGGGUUAGGAUCAUCCUUUCUCAUCCUGAAGGCGGGUAAGUCGUAGGAGAGAUCGUCGUAUUCGUCGUCGUCGUAAUCUUCGAACUUGCGUUUGAUUCGCUGGUGAAGAAAUUCGACGGACGGAGAGUCUGGAGAAGACAUUGACGGUUGGCCGGCGGGAAGGGGUUUACCAUGAAACCAUCAAACAACAACUUAUGAGAAAGAGAUUUGUAUAUCGCUUCGCUGGGUUUUACAGAGAGAGAUGAUGAGAUCAACGCGACCCGUCUUUACUUGCUGAGAGUAAUCUUACAGUAAUUGCCUAAAAGGCAUUAAUAAUUAAACUAAAGGAAAUUUGACUGAUCUAACCAUUUUUUGGUCUAUCUUUCACAAAAAUAACUUAUUUAGAUUGAUUUUGCCAAAAUAACAUUUUUAUCUAGAAUGGAUUAUUUAGGAAAUAAUUUCGGACUCCAUGUUAUCUGAAUCGCCCCUCAAAUACCUUAUGAAAUAUAUUCAUUCCAGAGUAACACAGUACAUAUUCCAAACUUCGAAUUUCAAAUUCAUUUUCGGAUUAUAUUUCGAUAAAUUCCAGAUCUCGAAUUACAAGCGCAUUCCGAUCUCCAACACGCUCUCCAAUAUUCCAACCCACUCGAAGACACAUUUUGAACUCCGACCUAAGAUAUGGAAUAUGAUCACGAUGACCUAGUUGUUUUACGAGCAAGUCAUUUACUCUUAUAUUGUUAUGGUUUAAUUUUAACAUAUUUUGUUUUUAGAACUUCAUCUGGAAUGCAAAGAACAGCUCCGAAAUGAACCGGCAACGUUCCAGAGUAGCAAUACAUGUUGAUAGUACAUUAAGACCAACCCAACAAUAGUUUAGUUGUUUAUAUUAUGUUAUUAACUUAUUAUACAUAGAAAAUAAGUAUUUCAGAACAAAAAAAAUGCAUUCCUGAAUGCUCCAGAAUGCUCGGGAACGCGAGAAUAAUAAUAAUAAUAAUAAUAAUAAUAAUAAUAAUAAUAAUACAUUUUAUCGAACAAUUAAAAUCAUUGAAUAAGGUAAUUGUUCUUCGUACACGUUACAAACUAUAUAAAUAUUAUCGUAUACAAAUAUUAUAAGUAUAUAAUAUUUGUAGAAAAUUUUAAUAUAAAAUUUAUCGUUAAACGAUAAAAUAACAUUUUGAUAAAGCAUACUUAUGAUAAAUGAUAUAAACAAAAUUCAUAGUAAUCGUAAUUACUAAGCCUUGAGUAUAAAAAAACGUCAAAAUAUGACUUCGUAUGAAGAAGUUAAGAUUUUACAAAGUUUCGCAUUCGACACGAUAACACGUGUUAACACCACAUACUAACCUUAGUCCUUAUGUUGAAGACACAGCACACCCAUUUAUAGGCAUGGCGUGCCUUUCUUCUAGCCUCUAUAAAUGGUGCAGAUUUUGCUUCAUUUGGUGCUUAUUUACUCUCUUUUUUCUCUUAAUGCAACAUCCCGAUUUUUAACCCAAAAUUUUCAUUUUUAUUUAGUUAAAUAUAUCAUAGUAUAAUUACAUUAGGCGGAAACAUAUUACGAAUGAACGUGUGUACAAUCGAACCUUGCCCUAUCACGCAUCAAUGAGGUACCUGAAAAACAUUUAUAUGCAACUGGGCAAGCAUGAAGCUUAAUUAGUUCCUCCAAAAUACCACAUACCACAAUACAUAUACAAUGCAUACAUAUUAUGGCCUUCAGCAUAAACCUGGUCCGCCCUUGGCCUUCAGCACGAAGCCGAUCCACCCUUUUUCCUUCAACAUAAAGUUGGUCCGCUACUUGACCUUCAGCAUAAAGUUGGUCUGCCCGAGUCUAUUAGCCUUCACCUUGAGGUUGGGUCGCCUUAAACUCCCUACAUAAUAUUUUAACACAUAUAAACACUACAACAUGUAAUAAUCCAAUACUACAUGCAACUAACAGAACUAGCCUAAUGACAUACUAUAGGGAAAUUAUAUGCGAACAUACAGAGGAUAUAUCAUGGAGCACAUAAUAUAGUGAGAAAACUCACCUAGACAGUUAUCAUUCUCAGCCACACAUUUAUUUUGGUUUUUGGAUGGAUAGAAAGGUAAUACACAUGUGUAAAUCUAACUGGGGUUUCCCAUCUAGCUAGCUUAAGGAUGGGCUUUUUUGGAGAGCAUGUUAACACUCAGUAUCACUUACAUUUUGGUUUUUGGAUGGGAAAGGAGAGUAAUACACAUGUGUGAAUCUAACUGGGGUUUUCCCUCCAGCUAGCUUAAGGAUGGGCUCUUUUGGAGAGCAUGUUAACACUCAGACUUACUUAUAUUUUGGUUUUUCGAUGGAUAGGAGGGUAAUACACGUGUGAAUCUAACCGGGGUUUCACUCUAGCAAGCUCAAGGAUGGGCUUCUUUGGAGAGCAUGUUAACACUCAGUCUUACUUACAUUUUGGUUUUUGGAUGGAAAAGGAGAGUAAUACACAUGUAUGAAUCUAACUGGGGGUUCCCCUCCGGCUAGCUUAAGGAUGGGCUCCUUAAGAAUGCAUGUCUAACACUCGAUCUAACUUACAUUUUGGUUUUUGGAUGGAUAGGAGGGUAAUACACAUGUGUGAAUCUAACAUGGGUUUUCCCUCUAGCUAGCUUAAGGAUGGGCUCCUUUGGAGUGCGUGUCUAACACUAAGACUUAGUUGCAUUUGGUUUUGGAUGAAUAGGAGGGUAAUACACAUGUGUGAAUCUAACUUGGGAUUCCCCUCUAGCUAGCUUAAGGAUGGGCUCCUUUGGUGAGCAUGUCUAACAAUCAGACUUACUUACACUUUGGUUUUUGGAUGGAUAGGAGGGUAAUACACAUGUAUGAAUCUAACAGGGGUUUUCCCUCUAGCUAGCUUAAGGAUGGGCUCCUUUGGAGAGCAUGUCUAACACCCAGACUUACUUGCAUUUUGGUUUUUAGAUGAAUAGGAGGAUAAUACACAUGUGUGAAUCUAAUUGUGGUUUCCCUGUAGCUAGCUUAAGGAUGGGCUCCUUUAGAGAGCAUAUCUAACACUUAAACUUACUUACAUUUUGUUUUUGGAUGGAUAGGAGGGUAAUACACAUGUGUGAAUCUAAUUGGGGUUUCCCUUUAGCUAGCUAAAGGAUGGGCUCCUUUGGAGAGCAUGUCUAACACUCCGACUUACUUACAUUUUGGUUUGUGGAUGGAUAGGAGGGUAAUACACAUCUAUGAAUCUAACUGGGGUUUUUCCUCUUGCUGGCUUAAGGAUGGGCUCCUUUAGAGAGCAUGUCUAACAUUCAAACUUACUUACAUUUUGGUUUUUGGAUGGACAGGAGGGUAAUACACAUGUGGAUCUAACAUGGGUUUCCUCUUUAGCUGACUUAAGGAGUGAGAAUUUCACAUUGGGCUAGUCUGCUUUAAAUGCUGUCUCAUGCAGUCAUGCUACUUGAGAAAACACGAGAAAAUGUACUUGAAUAACUAACACAUGUUUAUUAUUCGCGUUUGAUACUUUAAGCUUCUUUGCAUCAUAAGUUGUGGAUCUCCUUAAUAGAGUCUAGUGACUCGUAAUAAUGUUAACGUCCUAAAGUAAAAUUUUAAUUUUUAAAAGAAUUGAUUUUGCUAUCCAAAGGAGGUUAACAAGAUAAUUUGUUGUCCGUUUGCAUUUCAUCUUAUUGAUGUAAACUAUUUUAUAUGAAUGAAAAGAUCUUUUUAUUCAUUAACACUUCUUACUCAUAAAUAUUUAACAUGAAGAAAUUAGUUUGUGAUUAUUAAUGAUAAUAAGUGAUUUAAUGUAUUUUAUAUAAGAAAAUUCAUCUGCUUAUUUCAAGUACACUUGCUUCCUAAAGUUAUGUUUAUUUACUACUAUUUCAACUUUACCAUAGUAAACCUAAAAUCAUAAAGAGAACUAACAAAAACUUGUUAGUAAUAAACUUUUUUGAAUGAAAUAGCAAAGCACUUAUACCCAUAAUAACAUUGUACUUGUACAACUUCAUCCACAAUAACAUACUUAUAUUCAUUUACCCAUAAUAACAACCAACUUACAUUUGUAAGCAAUUUACAUGUUCCUAUCAAUAAAAAAAAGUCCCCAACAAUAACCAAAGAUAAUGCAGUUAAAACAUAAAAAAAAAAACCCACCUAAUUCCAAUCUUUAUUCAUAAUAUAUAUAGUUAUAUUAUAUUAUAUACCUAGUUAUAGACAUGAUAUACCCCAAGACCUAAUGACAGUCGAGUCAACUCAGUCAAAACAGAAAACUUCAACAUAAACUUACUCUAUUAUUACCUUUACAAACAGAGAACAAACAAACUAGCUCAAAAUUUCACCUUUUUUUUUUUUUUUUUUAAUUUCACCAUGUUCCAAAGCUGCAUCCCACAUGAUCUUGAGUGAUGAUAUUUAGGCGUUCUCUCAUGAUAUCCAAUGAAGGGUAAGAUGGGAAACAAAUUCGAUAAAAACAUGUGUGAGAAGAUGGAAGAAGCUCUAUUGAAUCAUUGGUUUUGUAUAUGUAAAGCUUUGAAGCUAAUCCACCAAAACCUUCUAUUGGUAGAUGUUUUAAAGAUGUCCAAAAGAACAGAAGCACUUUUCUCUGAUUCCCUGUCAUUUCUUCAAUAAUCUGUGCAACAAAUAACUACUUUUAAUUAACAAGGUUAAAAAAGGAAAGAAAAAGAUGAGAAAUGACAGGUGGCAUACCUCCCAUAACCAUGAUAUUUGAGGAUCAGUUUCCUUAUACCCAUAAUACUCGGUAUGCUUCUUCCAAUCUUCCACUGAAAUAAUACUUUCACUUCCAUACAACAUUCCAUCAAGAUCCUCACAUUCUAAGCUUUUAAAAAACAAUUUCCUUAUUUUUUCUUCUCCAGCAAUAUCUGUAAACCCUUUAGCAAAAUAUGACACCUGUUCUGAAACAGAUGUCACAAACCUAUGCUCGAUAAGAAGAUCAACAUACUCCUUCCUGUUUCUACUAUUCACAACAAUGUUUUUUCCAUCUGCAAAAAGCUCCACAACUUUUCUUGAUCCUAGUUCUUCAAUUUCUCUAACGAAUGUUAACCCAAGGGCAUCUUCGUCAACUGUAGUGGGGUCCAUGUCUAAUAUCUGUUUGCAGCUGCUGUAUAAGUAUGGAUCUGCAUCUUUUAUGUCUUCUAGAGAGAUUGUGUUUCCUGAUAAUUGUGAGAAGAAUGAUCGAUCGAAUGCAAUUCCAACUUGGAUUUUGUGCAUUAAAGCUAAUGCGAUUAUUCUUCCUGCAAAGUUGAAGUAUUCAAGGUGCAAUGGGUCCACUUUAGAUGCUG
rnacentral:lncRNA from 1 species